rnacentral:tRNA from 1 species
GGGGACAUGGCUUAGUGGUAGAGCACCUUGCUGGGCAUGCCUGAGGCCCUGGGUUUGACCCCUAGUAUCCCCC